rnacentral:rRNA from 1 species
AUUGAACGCUGGCGGCAGGCCUAACACAUGCAAGUCGAACGGUAACAGGAAGAAGCUUGCUUCUUUGCUGACGAGUGGCGGACGGGUGUGAAAUGUCUGGGAAACUGCUUGAUGGAGGGGGAUAACUACUGGAAACGGUAGCUAAUACCGCAUAACGUCGCAAGACCAAAGAGGGGGACCUUCGGGCCUCUUGCCAGCGGAUGUGCCCAGGUGGGAUUAGCUAGUAGGUGGGGUAACGGCUCACCUAGGCGACGAUCCCUAGCUGGUCUGAGAGGAUGACCGGCCACACUGGAACUGAGACACGGUCCAGACUCCUACGGGAGGCAGCAGUGGGGAAUAUUGCACAAUGGGCGCAAGCCUGAUGCAGCCAUGCCGCGUGUAUGAAGAAGGCCUUCGGGUUGUAAAGUACUUUUAGCGGGGAGGAAGGGAGUAAAGUUAAUACCUUUGCUCAUUGACGUUACCCGCAGAAAAAGCACCGGCUAACUCCGUG